rnacentral:lncRNA from 1 species
AGAACAAGAUGUAUCAAACUUGUAGUAAAUUUGUAAUAAUUGCAUUGUAUUUGGAAGUUGAAUAUAAAAGAAUGUAAUUUGUAAUGUAAAAUGUAAUAUGUGAGAUGAAUGCUUGUAAUAGCAAGUAGAAUUAUGUUUUGAUACUUCCUUAUACAAUCUUUGGUUGAAAUGUGUUCCUGGUUGGAACUUCGUACAUUGUAUUGAUUGCGAUACCUUGAAUGUACAGGGGAGACUCUGUCCGCGGUAC